ACCGCUGACGACCGGCGCACGGGUGAGUAACGCGUAUGCAACCUGCCUAUAACUGGGGAAUAGCUCCCUGAAAGGGGGAAUUAACACCGCAUAACACUAUUGAUUCGCAUGGAUUAGUAGUUAAAUGUAGCGAUACAGGUUAUAGAUGGGCAUGCGUGACAUUAGCUAGUUGGUGAGGUAACGGCUCACCAAGGCUACGAUGUCUAGGGGUUCUGAGAGGAAGGUCCCCCACACUGGUACUGAGACACGGACCAGACUCCUACGGGAGGCAGCAGUGAGGAAUAUUGGUCAAUGGGCGCAAGCCUGAACCAGCCAUGUCGCGUGCAGGAAGACUGCCCUAUGGGUUGUAAACUGCUUUUAUAGUAGAAGAAACACAUCUACGCGUAGAUGUCUGCCAGUAUACUAUGAAUAAGCAUCGGCUAACUCCGUGCCAGCAGCCGC
rnacentral:rRNA from 1 species